CCAUGUCCUAUUGCAAAAGUUUCAAGUGUUGGUAUUAUCAGUGCCUUUCAGAAAUUUCCUGAUGUUUCAAGUGUUGGUAUUAUUGAUUCCUAUUAACCAAAAGCCAUAGGAUCAAAACCCACAGAAAGCCAAGAAUGUUACAACAAUGAAAAACAAGCUACAAGAAAAACAAGACAGAGCAUUAAAAGGAUCGGAGGGGGUGGGGAAGGUGAUGAACAAAAAAAUAUACAGAGACAGACCCAAUACUAAAGUCUCUAAUUAAGGCCAAACUGAGUCGACAGAAACCCUAGACUCUAGCUGCUGCAGAAGAUCUUCCACAGCUACCAUCACCUCAUUUUCUUGUGCUUGGCCAUUGCAUUUGUAGUUGCUUCCAUUUCUGGUCAGUGGGUUUAUGGCAGUAGAAGAAUUAGAACAAGAAGAAGGAGGAAGUGUUGCCCACCACAAAUUACUUGGAUCUGUGUUAUGGGGCCGACCUCCAAGUACAGACAAGAGAAGAACAAGAGAAGCCAUAGAAAUUUUGAUGGAAUUGAGAGAGAAAGAAGAAGGCAAGGCAAUUGAUGCAGUUGAAGUUGAAGUUGAAGAUAGCGAGAUGACUUGUUUUGGGUUUUAUAUAAACUAGUAUGCCGGGGUGGCGGG
rnacentral:lncRNA from 1 species